GUAGGUCAAAGCUUGAAUAAUGAUCUAAAAGUACUGAAGAUGGAUCAUGCCAGAGUAAUAGAUACUUCACUUGUGUUUAAGUAUAACUAUGACGGUACAAGAAAGCCUUUACGACUUAAAAAAACUUCUUUGAAUUAUCUGUGCAAGUGUAUAUUGGGAUAUGAAG